UUUUAUCAAUAUUUUGUUUCUGUAAAGCAGGUCUUUUGUUAAAAAAAAUUGUCCUCAAAUAUUGUCCUCGAACUAUAAAAAUGUGAUUUGAAUUAGUGGUAUCAAAUGUGCACUUACGUGUUUUAGUUGUGUACAUAUCUAAAUAUAAAACGACUAUUCCUAAACUGUAAAAACUGUUUAGUAUUAAAACUGAUAAAAUGCAUAUAAAUGAUAAUUAAAGAGCUAAUUCGUCCUAGGUGCGAAACAGAAUGGUUUUUUUUUGUUUAUAUUUACAUGCUGUAGAAUAUUGCUAGCAUUUAGUUUUAUUAUCU
rnacentral:lncRNA from 1 species